GCCAAGGGGGAAAAGGAAAGGCGAGGCGAAGCCAAGUUGCAAGGAAGAGGACACCUUUGCUUCAACACCAAAAGCCAGGCAUGGUAUAAAUUCCUCCUGCCUCCAAAAGACCGACACCAUCCCCAGUGAGGGAGAUCUCAAAGCAUUAGUGAGAGGAGGAACACCCAGACAUGAGGAUGACCAAGGGAGAAGACACAGAGAAGAAGAACGACAACAGAAAGGAGGCUCCUUUAAUGGAAUCAGAGGAAGGCGAGGGAGAGCCAAAAGAAAGCAGAGGAAACGAAGAGGAGGAGAAGAAUGAGGAGGAGGUGGUGGUCGGCGUGAAGACGGUGGUGGUCGGCGUGAAGACGGACGUCCAGAGCCGACAACUCCUCACUUGGGCCCUCGUCACGGCGGCCGCCCCGGGAGACCGCGUUGUCGCCCUUCACGUCCACACCUCCCGUUCUUCCUCCUCCUCCGAUCCUGAGGGCGAGGACGAGCAGGCCGCGGUCGUCUCCCUCGCCAAAGACUUGGACGCCAUGCUCGCCGUCUACAAAGGCUUCUGCAAUCUAAAGCAGAUCUAUCUGAAGUGGAAGAUUUGCAAGGGGAGUUCGGUCCGGAAGGUUUUGGCCCGGGAAGUGAACGAGCUCGCUGCGUCAAAACUCAUUCUUGGGGUCGCCAAGCACUCUCGCAGCAUUAGGUUGUCUUCCCUUUCAAUUGUCAAAUAUUGUGCAAAGAAGCUGCCUUUGGAUUGUUCAGUCUUCGCCGUUAGCAAUGGAAAAAUUGUUUUCCAAAGGCAAGCAGCAGACAAGAACAAAGUUCACAGGAGGAAUUCGAGCAAGGAUUCUACCAGUAGCUCUGGCGAUGGCGAAUUGUAUUGUUUGUUGCCAAUUAGAGGUCAGGUAGGGAAGGAUGUGGAUGAUUCCAAUUCUUCACCUCUGUUGGAAGAUGGGUCGAAUAAUGGUAACAGUGCUGCUGAUGAAAAUGUAACAAUGGUGGAUGCGUCUUUAAAACAGAAUUGUUCAAUUUGUGAAUCUGUUUCUGAGACGCCAAGCAUGAAUGAAUCGAAGGAGGAUGAGCCACUGGCUCCAGUUCCAAUGGAGAAUUCUGAUGCUCCUGCGAGUUGCUCAUGGUCUCCUGGGGUAAAGGAGAUUCCAAGAGCAAGAGCCAGUUGGACGCUCCUCAGAAGACCGGUCUUUUCGAGCAUAAGGAGUUCUUCUUCUUCCCAUGAGUGGCCUAAGAUCUCUCUAGCUCAUUGGGCAUUGCGGCUUCCGAGCCGGUAUUCGGCGGUCCAUCCUUAUCGCAAGUCCAUGAAGUCAAGUGCAAAUGCCAUCUCUAAUAUUGACACUGACUCAACUCCUCCUUCCGGUGCUGUCCAUGAUGAAGAAGGGGUACUUUCAAAGGAGUUGGAGUCUCUUCAAGAGAAGUAUUCAUCAGUUUGUAGAUUGUUCAGCUACAAGGAACUUGUAAACACUACCUCCAACUUCUCACCAGAGAAAUUAAUUGGGAAGGGAGGCUGCAGCCGAGUUUAUAAGGGUUGUCUUUCGGAUGGCAAGGAAGUGGCAGUGAAAAUUUUGAAGCCCUCUGAAAAUGCAUUGAGAGAUUUUUUUUCGGAGAUUGAGAUUGUCACCACCUUGCAUCAUAAGAACAUUAUUUCUCUGAUUGGGUUUUGCUCUGAGAACAACAGUCUCAUACUGGUUUUUGACUACUUGUCACGGGGUAGCUUAGAAGAAGUUCUUCAUGGUGAGAAAGAGAACAAGCCUGUUCUUAGUUGGGCCACUAGAUAUAAGGUGGCUAUGGGUGUAGCGGAGGCACUUGAUUACCUACAUGGUGGUAGUGGUGCUGAAACUGUGAUCCAUAGAGAUGUGAAGUCUUCAAACAUCCUUCUCUCCGAGGAUUUCGAACCACAGUUGUCUGAUUUUGGACUUGCAAAGUGGGCAUCGACAUCGACAUCAAGUCCAACUUCUGGUGAUGUUGCAGGAACAUUCGGGUAUUUGGCUCCUGAAUACUUCAUGUAUGGGAAAGUCAACAAAAAGAUUGAUGUCUAUGCUUUUGGUGUCGUGCUUCUCGAGCUUCUUUCAGGAAGGAAGCCCAUCAGCACAGGGUGCCCCAAGGGCCAGGAGAGCCUGGUCAUGUGGGCAAAGCCAAUCCUUCAAGUUGGCGAAGUCAAACAGCUGGUGGAUCCAUGUUUAGGAAAUGAAUAUGAUAGCGAUCAGAUGGAAAGGGUGACUCUAGCUGCUUCCCUUUGCAUCAGGAGGGCUCAUCAAUCCCGGCCCCAAAUAGCCCUUGUUUUGAAGCUACUCCAAGGGGAUGAUGAUGUUGUCAAGUGGGCAAGGUCGAAAGUAAGCACUUCCGAAGGGCUUGAUGAGUUGGAUGAUGAGUUAAUACACCCAAAAUCUAUCAUCCAAUCCCAUCUUAACCUUGCACUUCUUGAUGUGGAUGAUGACUCAUUAUCGAUCAGCAGCACAGAGCAUACUGUUGAUUUUAUAACCGCAAACACUUCCAUGGAGGAUUACUUGAAAGGAAGAUGGAGCUGUUCCUCAAGCUUCAAUUAAGUAACUUCUUGUAGAUGUGGAAGCAGUAUGGUCUAAAGUGCCCACUUCCUUGCCUCUUCACAUGCUAGUCUAUUGUGAGAUUGUUUUUGAAGAACAAUUCCGCACUGUCUUCUCAAAUGAAAUGCAGGGAACUAACAACAGGGAGCCGAUGGCUUUUUGUGUAGUCAAAGAGAGAUCAUCAGAAUUGUCAUCUAAUUGGUUGAGCCCACAAUUAUAUGAAGCUAUGCAGGACUUGCAGUCUCCAUAGAAGCUAGAGGCUGUGAAGUUUCCAAUUGUUGAACUUAAAAGAUUACGAGGCCAAAAGGUUGCAAAAGUAGAUGAUAAAAUCCUGAAACUAAUUUAGCUGGCAUGGUCUAGCAUAAACAGAACUCUGUCCUGAAUAAAUAUUAUUCUCAUAAAAGUAUUGCUACAUUGUAUAUAUGGUUAUCAAUAAAUGAUUUAUGAAAUGUCUAAGGUAAGAAAAUUUAACUCA